AACUCUCUAAUAGGAAUGCCAUCAACUGUAAAACUGAAGGAAAGACAACAAAAGAUACCUAUUAGGAAUCAUACAUAAAAAAAUGUAAUAAGACCUAGAAUAAAAUCUAAGAGACAUGUUACAAUCUACUGAUUAUCCAUUGGUAUGAAUUGGAAGUUAACGGUUGGAACAUUAAUAAAAGUAUAAAUUCAUUUAUAUAUAUCAUACUCCUUCCUAUAACAUAUAUAGGAUUAAUGUAUGAUGUACUUACAUAAUCCUUUGGGGAUUCCAUGUAAUGCAGUAAGUGUGAAAGUUCUUUGUUGGGUCGAACCAUAGAUGAAACUGCUGUUCUUUGUCUCCAGAGCCUCGUGUGUAAACAUUAGUAUGUAGAGUAUAUGGAUGACCACUUAUGUUUCCCAAGAACUCGAAAUCGAUCUCAUCCCAUGUAGUUCCCGGUGAUUUAAGCUACACAAAGUCAUCAUAAAACACUCGAUAAAUAAAUGU